CCUACGGGAGGCAGCAGUGAGGAAUAUUGGUCAAUGGUCGCAAGACUGAACCAGCCAUGCCGCGUGCAGGAAGACGGUCCUAUGGAUUGUAAACUGCUUUUAUACAGGAAGAAACCCUCCCACGUGUGGGAGCUUGACGGUACUGUAGGAAUAAGGAUCGGCUAACUCCGUGCCAGCAGCCGCGGUAAUACGGAGGAUCCAAGCGUUAUCCGGAAUCAUUGGGUUUAAAGGGUCCGUAGGCGGUCUUAUAAGUCAGUGGUGAAAGCCCAUCGCUCAACGAUGGAACUGCCAUUGAUACUGUAAGACUUGAAUGCUUAGGAAGUAACUAGAAUAUGUAGUGUAGCGGUGAAAUGCUUAGAUAUUACAUGGAAUACCAAUUGCGAAGGCAGGUUACUACUAAGUGAUUGACGCUGAUGGACGAAAGCGUGGGGAGCGAACAGGAUUAGAUACCCUGGUAGUCCACGCCGUAAACGAUGGAUACUAGCUGUUCGGCGCAAGUUGAGUGGCUAAGCGAAAGUGAUAAGUAUCCCACCUGGGGAGUACGCACGCAAGUGCGAAACUCAAAGGAAUUGACGG
rnacentral:rRNA from 1 species